rfam:Medicago truncatula strain A17 chromosome 3, whole genome shotgun sequence.
AAACCAUGAUGGGGACAAAGUCUAAGUAUUUCUUUAAAACGCUCCCACACAUCGUAAAGAGAUUCCCCGCUUUCUUGAGUAAAUUGGUAAAGCCUUCCCCUAAGUUG